UACAGAGGGUGCGAGCGUUAUUCGGAAUUACUGGGCGUAAAGCGCACGUAGGCGGCUUUGUAAGUUAGAUGUGAAAGCCCGGGGCUCAACUCCGGAAUUGCCUUUAAGACUGCAUCGCUAGAAUUGUGGAGAGGUAAGUGGAAUUCCGAGUGUAGAGGUGAAAUUCGUAGAUAUUCGGAAGAACACCAGUGGCGAAGGCGACUUACUGGACAGAUAUUGACGCUGAGGUGCGAAAGCGUGGGGAGCAAACAGG
rnacentral:rRNA from 1 species